UACCAGCACCCCGAGUGGUCGGGACGUUUUAUUGGGCCUAAAGCAUCCGUAGCCGGUUCUACAAGUCUUCCGUUAAAUCCACCUGCUUAACAGAUGGGCUGCGGAAGAUACUAUAGAGCUAGGAGGCGGGAGAGGCAAGCGGUACUCGAUGGGUAGGGGUAAAAUCCGUUGAUCCAUUGAAGACCACCAGUGGCGAAGGCGGCUUGCCAGAACGCGCUCGACGGUGAGGGAUGAAAGCGUGGGGAGCAAACAGG
rnacentral:rRNA from 1 species